UGUGUGUGUGUGUGUGCUCGGUGCACGCGGAGCGUGUUGCCAAAGUAGAUUGGGUUACUAUCGGAUGUAGGCUCGGCGGUCGAAGGAAGCAUGUGCUCGGGGAACUCUGUUUUGACUUCUUACUAGGAGUUUACAUGUCAUAGAGACCACAGUUCACCAACUUGCACACAGCGCGUCAGGAUUAUGACCCAAGCAAACUUCAAAACAGACAUGAAGGACAUAUCCGGGCCGAACCGAGCACUUGGGUAUGUGUUCGCACUUAAAACCCAGAUCCACCCCAGUGGUGUGAACAGGGCCAGAUCCGGAGCACACAUCUCUCCACACUUUUAAUAAGACGUGUUGCGAGCUCGGCCCAUUCUCGUGUCUAACAUCAACUCUAUGUGAUGACCCAAGACAUCAUCUCGCUUUUCUGGAUAGCAGUAACACCAUGCAUGAUGGGUCUAUCAACUUAGACGAGGCCACGCUGAUCGAAAAGCCAUUGGAGUGGAUGAAAGUGAAGCGCAACCAAGCGGACAAGGAAAAGUCUUUUGAACUGGGCCACAGAAUUGACUUCAGUCCCUGAAAGUGGACGGUGGGACAGCAUUAAACUGAGGACAAGUCUCCACACGCAGUCAAGUUAAACGAGUUGGAGAAGGAGUUCCACUACUGCAGGGUUAUUCUUCUGGAGAUGGAAGUCUAUGCUUUCUGGUUUCCAGGCAUCUGGAGAGGCUGGAUCCCCCUCUUGUUCUAUUAUUUCUCCAUUGUGACAAUCACACUAAUGCAAAUGGACAUGCCAAGGGGACUGGGCUUUAGACAAACAAACAGAACGGACAGGAGGAUGAAGUGACGCUCGGCCCGGUGGUCCCAUGUGUUAGAAGCUCAAGGAAGCUUUGUCACAGGAGAGGCUGUGAGUAAGAUUGUUACGCAGAUGACCUAAUCCACCACAAUAAACGAUUCUUCCUCUACACCCAGACGUGAUCAAAUCUUAUUUUUUGGUAUGUCAUAUUAAAAAUAUUUUUGCACUCUGAAUUCCAUAAUCUAUGAAAUCAAACUUUUAAAUAAAAUCAAAAAUGAAAUGAA